GGGGGCACAGCUCAGUGGCAGAGCACGUGCUUAGCACUCACAGGUCCUGGGUUCAAUCCCCAGCACCGCCU
rnacentral:tRNA from 1 species